UCAAAGGAAGGUUGGGAGGCAUUAAUGAAAUAGUUCAGUGCUUUGAGCUCUAGAAGCUAUGAUAAGAAGCAAUUAAAGAACAAAUAGGAUAAUUUGAGGAAAGAUUGGAAUAUAUGGGACAAACUAUUAAACAAAGAGAUUGAUUUAGGAUGGGAUAGCGAAAAGAAUACUAUUUCAAAACCAGAAGAGUAGUGGAAUCAAAAGAUUAAGGUAUACAAUUAGACAUGGCAUGCUAUACAUUUGAUAUUUUAUUUUAUAAACAUACUAGACUUAGUUCUUGUAAAUGUGCAAGAGAAUCCUGAGUAUAGGAAAUUUAGACAUAGACCACUUCUAUAUGUACAAGAAUUGACACACUUGUUCUACCAAUUACAGCAUCGGGCACUUACAUGUGGACUGUAACAUCCUAAAACUUCAAAUCUAGAAAAAUGGAUUAAUUAAGGGAUAAAUUAGUUAAAAAUAUGAUUAAUUUAUUUAAUUAUGGUUUUGGUUGGCUAAUUGGAUUUUUGGGUCAUAUUUGGCUCUAAAUUGAGAUAGGAUGAAAGUCAGAUCAAGUCGGGAGGCAUCAGGGGGAGCAAAAUUAAGUUGUUGCUCGCUGCGUCAUGAGCCAUGGCUUGCGUGGCGUGCGCUGCGGCGCACAACAUAGCAGGCAACUUAAAUUUUCGAGAAUCAUCAAAAAUUGAUAGAAAACCUAGAGCACAAAGGGGGCAACUUUGGGUACAACUAGGGCAUCAAUUUGGAAGGAUUUUGAAGAUCAUUUGAGUCUCCAAACUCUUAGGUCAUAUUUGGCUCUAAAUUGAGAUAGGAUGAAAGUUGGAUCAAGUCAGAAGGCAUCAAGGGGAGCAAAAUCAAGUUGUUGCUCACUGCUAGGGCAUCAAUUUUGGAGGAUUUUGAAGAUGAUUUGAGCCUUCAAACUCUUGGAUUGUGGUGUGGGAAGACUUAUAUUGACACAAGAAGAGAAUUAGUACCAUGGGUAACCCUUUUAGUAACAAAAGGGUUGAGGUAACUGGAUAAUUUGCAUUGUUUAUUACCUUGUAUAAAUUAUUCUCAAGUUUCUUUUCUAUGAAUUGUUGAGUAUAUAUGUAUAAAUUCCUUAGAGGUUAACUAUUUUAGAAAAGGUGGAGUAUUGGUUUGUAAAAUUCUAUAUUUUUGAAGUAAUGGAAAUAUUUUGUUAUACCUGUUUGAAAAGUUGUUUAUGCAUGGUCAAGUGAAGAUAUGUAGUGAAAUGUGGCAUAUUAGAGGGUGGUAGGUCACCUUAGUGGAGAUAGUGAAGAUUAAGUCCAUAUGGCAUUGCUGGUACCUCGGGACGCCAGGUGUAGCAUUUACUCUCCUUGCCCGAAAAUGGGUGCGGUGUUGGAGACUUACUCUCCUUAGUACCCAAAAGGGUGCGGAGUUAGAGACUAUGCUCCUUAGCAUCCGUAGGACGAGGUAUUGGAGUAACAACACCCCAAUUACUUGUAAUAGGGGGAAACAGUAGUCUGAAAAUGGUUUAGGAUACCUUGGCUAGGUAGUCCUACCAUGAAUGGUGAGCUUAGGGACCAUACAUGUGGUUUGGUUUUGUAGAAUAGCCUACUGGUUUGGUCAGGAGUAUUGGAGGACCGUAUGGUUAGAGAUCAUGCAUGUAAAUUUACGGUGAUAUUAUAUGAUGUGAUUAUAUUACUUAUUUUAAUGCUUGUUUAUAACUUGACUUGUUAAUUAAUAAUAUAGAUUAUCUUAGUUACUGAGAUUUUUAUCCCAUCCCGUGGAUUAUCAUUUUAUAGGUACUACCAGUGAGACUGAGCCAAGGAGGGAAUCGGGCAGGGACUAGCAUAUUUGCUACACUCUUUGUAAAGCCCAAUUUCGGUUUGAGUGGUGUACAUAAACUUGUUAUAUGAUAUUAUAAUUUACCAACUAGGAAUGCAUAUCAUUUUGAUUGGUUGUACUUGUUGUAUACUAUGUUAUUGUCUAUUUUAGCCCGAUAUUGUAUAUGAGAUGAAGAUGUGGUAAUUUUUGUUGUGAUGGGCUAAAAUACUAAUA